ACAAAAGUUUUGAGUCAGUACUGUGAUCUUGACCAGGACACCUACCGGAUGCUAUUACAGGUGCAACCUCAAGAUCUGGUGAAGGAGCACUUGUGGGGGCCAUGAAUGCUGACUGGGAUCCAGGGCACUGGAAAGGUUUACAGGAGCAGGACCCCAUCUUGUGUAAGGUGAAACAGUAUGGGACCGAGGAAGGAAGCCAUCUGAAGAAAAGAGGCGUUGGGAGUCUAAAUGUCAAUAUACAGGCCCUAAAUAGGGGUGGUGUGGGCCAGGAGUUUGAGACCCCUCCAAGACUCUGCCACAAACAAUUUUUGAAAACUCUGGAGCAAAAACUGUGUUCUCAUCCCAGCUGUCAGGAUCCUGGGUCCUUGUGUCUUUGUGAUUUUGUAUUAUGAUUGAUGUUUAAGGUUCUCUUUGUUAAUCUUAGUUUAUUCCACAGUGUCCAGUGUUCUAGUUUAGGUUUCCUGUAUUAUCUGUUUAGCUCCCUGUGUAUUUAAUAGGUUCCCCUCUGUGUCUCCCUCUGUGUGUCUGUGUUUAUAUUGUGAUGUUAGUUCUGGUGCCGUGUUCCCACUCCUUGUGUUCUGUGUUUCCUCAUCCCGUCAUAUGCUCCUCCAUGUUCUCUUUCUCCCUCCAGGCUGUCUCUGUGUACUUCCUGUUUUACUUUAAAGGUCUGUGUCUCAUGUUAGUGUAUUCUGCUCUUAUUCUAUCUCUUAUGUUGAUAUUAACCCAAUUAUCGAUGUACUAUCUUUGUCAAUACUUUUCCCCAGUUAGUUGUCAAUUCUACCUGUAUCUUGUUCCUUUUUUUGUUCCGACACUUGUGUUACAUAACUUUCUGGCACUGUUCCCAGACCAAAUUUUGCAGAACUGGAACACAUAAAACAAUGCAACCAAGGGGACUGGUGGUGUGUUGUUUUGUUUUUUUUAACUGGGUCCCUCUGACAGUUUUAUGGUUUAUGGUUACUUAUUGAUCCUAAUUACUACAUUUCAAAUAGUAUGGAUCAACAGUCGCUCAUACAACAUACAACCAGUCAUACAACAGC
ensembl:lncRNA